rnacentral:lncRNA from 1 species
GGGCCUAAAGUUCAUGGUCAGUUGCUGGUUUUUAAUUGUGUUUAUCGUUUAGAUAUAUAUCUCUCUCAAGCACUUUAACAAGUUUGUUUCUGCUGAUAACAGAAUUGAAUAUCGUUAGAUAUCAACUCGAGUUAUUUAAUUUCAAUAUAUUAAUAAACGAGUCUGUGGCGAGUUUAUUAUUACUAUUCAAAUUAAAUAACGAAAGUUG